rnacentral:rRNA from 1 species
GGAGGAAAAGAAACUAACAAGGAUUCCCCUAGUAACUGCGAGUGAAGCGGGAAAAGCUCAAAUUUAAAAUCUGGCGGUCUUUGGCCGUCCGAGUUGUAAUCUAGAGAAGUGUUACCCGCGUCGGACCGUGUACAAGUCUCCUGGAAUGGGGCGUCAUAGAGGGUGAGAAUCCCGUCUUUGACACGGACUACCGAGGCUUUGUGGUGCGCUCUCAAAGAGUCGAGUUGUUUGGGAAUGCAGCUCAAAAUGGGUGGUAAAUUCCAUCUAAAGCUAAAUAUUGGCGAGAGACCGAUAGCGAACAAGUACCGUGAGGGAAAGAUGAAAAGAACUUUGGAAAGAGAGUUAAACAGUACGUGAAAUUGCUGAAAGGGAAACGCUUGAAGUCAGUCGCGUUGGCCGGAAAUCAACCUUGCUUUUGCUGGGCGUACUUUCUGGUUGACGGGCCAGCAUCAGUUUUGACCGAUGGAAAAAGUCUAGGGAAAUGUGGCAUCUUCGGAUGUGUUAUAGUCCUUGGUCGUAUACAUCGGUUGGGACUGAGGAACUCAGCACGCCGCAAGGCCGGGUCAUUGACCACGUUCGUGCUUAGGAUGCUGGCAUAAUGGCUUUAAUCGACCCGUCUUGAAACACGGACCAAGGAGUCUAACAUGCCUGCGAGUGUUUGGGUGGUAAACCCGAGCGCGUAAUGAAAGUGAAAGUUGAGAUCCCUGUCGUGGGGAGCAUCGACGCCCGGACCUGAAGUUUUCUGACGGAUCUGCGGUAGAGCAUGUAUGUUGGGACCCGAAAGAUGGUGAACUAUGCCUGAAUAGGGUGAAGCCAGAGGAAACUCUGGUGGAGGCUCGUAGCGAUUCUGACGUGCAAAUCGAUCGUCAAAUUUGGGUAUAGGGGCGAAAGACUAAUCGAACCAUCUAGUAGCUGGUUCCU